GUGCGCCCGAGUAUGUGCUCCAAGUCGGCGCAUACCAUUUUGUUUGGUAGGUAAGUUACAGUCCGUGCUCUUGGAAAAUCGAUUCAGGGUGCGUUGCGAAACGGGUACAGUAAAUCAGGAGAAUGGUCUCUUCAAUCAAGCUUCAAUCCACUGAGAUCCGCUAUCGUGGCAGGUGUAAGAAUGCUGAGGUAGACGUCUGCCGUCGAUAAACAGACGACUGGCUGGCAACCUUGGCAACGUCCACGUCUUCAGUGGACUUUUCCGGAGUGCCGAGAAGGGAGCGCCCUCGGUUUCAAUCACGUGCUAUCAAUGGUUGCCCAAUUUCACACACAGGAGACUGCGUCUCACAGGCAAGAAGAGGAGAGAGAGGGGGGGUUGGCACAAGCGACCCGCCUACCUUCCUCUUUAUUUUGCUGGUAAAUCCGAAACCGUGUGCUUAUGGUAAAUGUCAUGCAGGCAGGACGGAGACGAGUGUGUUCUUGUGGAUGAAAAAAAAAAAAAAAAAAGAAGAAUGUGUACGCUCUGACAGCGGAGAGGUAGCCCGGGCCCUGUGUCGAGGAUAAUCAAGGGUCGCGUGCAACAAAGCGAGGCCCCAGCCAGCCGACCUGUGCACAGCAAGUUCCCUGUUCCGCCAUGACAGCUUUUGGCAGGUUCCAGAAGUGUUCUGGAUGUUCUGAUUCAUUAUUAAGGCUGACUGUACUUCUGUGUAUAAUGCAACCAUAGCGUGUGAUGAAAUGCGAUGGAGAUUGCUUGGAAAUGUGCACUCGGAGUGCUAUCGCCGAGGGCAAAGCGACUUACUGGAAAAUGUAUUGCUGCAUACGGUGGUGGUGUUGGCACGGAGCCAAACAGCUGGGAACUUGCCUGUGACACUGGCAACAGAGGCGUGGAGGCGGAAGACAGAUGAUCCCCGGACUUCCUUCUCCUCAAGUUUGUCUCAGAAAAUUCCUUCGUAAGCUUGAGCCGCGUGGUUCGCUCCGCGGAGUAAUCUCACUUGCAUGAACCACGGACUGUUGGAGCUUGGACUUCCUUUCUUGACCUGCACCACGGACUUCUCUCUCAGGAUUGGACCACAGACCUCCAUUUCAAGACUGCACAGACUUUAAGGGCACUCUGUGGACUGUUUCUAAGCUUUAAGGUUAGGGCUUGGGGUGGAAGCAAAUCCCUCGCGCGAAACUCUCGGUUAAUGUUUUAAUGUUUUUUUUUUCUAAACCCACUGCCCACCCCUUCCUCUCUAUCCUCCAUUUCUCGCGCAUGCGUGGAAACGGAACGCAAGAAUAACAUCGUCAGCAUUGUUACUAAGCCUCAAGAUGUCUCACUGCAUGACCAAUGCGCCCGGAAGUUUCCCAUGUGGCCCAAGAUGGCCGAGCUAAUUAAUAAGUUAAAUAUCGAAACGGUUGUUCGUGAGCUGCUGGAAUACCUAGUCUGACAGGGAGCCACAAAAAGAACAUCACUGAGUCACAGAAUUCUGCCCAGAAUACAUCUCUGAGUUGAGCUCGUGAAUAGUAGUGGUCGAGCAUGUUUUGUUGGUUGUGUGUGUGUGUUUAAUUUUUUUGGUUUAGGUUUUUUUCCGGGGUGGGGGGUUGUCCUGGAUUCCCUACUCCUCAACCCACACGUGCAGCCUACACAAGCCGUAAAAUAAAAGACUUGCAGCAA